rnacentral:lncRNA from 1 species
ACCCUUAACGGUGACCCCGCCCCGCCCAAAAUUAAACCUUAGGGUUUUAUAUGUGUUGUCCCCCCCCCCCAAAUAACCCUUUAGGGUUCCCCCCCCCCAAAUUAACCCUUAGGGUUUAUAUGUGUGCCUCCCCCCCAAAUUAACCCUUAGGGUUUUAUACGUGUGCCCGCCCCCCGUCCCCAAAAUUAACCCUUAGGGUUUAUAACCGUAUAUACGUAUAUAGUAUAUAUGUAUAUAUUGGGUUUAUAUGUGUGUCCCCCCCCCAAUCCAACCUUAUGACCCAUGUAUGGGGUGGGGGGGUUUAUAUGUGUCCCCCCCCCAAUCUAACCUUAUGACCCAUGUAUGGGGUGGGGGGGUCCCUCUAAGGCGGGCAUGUAUAUGUAUUAUAUUGGGGUUUAUAUGUGUCCCCCCCCCCAAUCUAACCUUAUGACCCACAUGUAGGGGUGGGGGGUCCCUUAGCGGGCUGUAUAUGUAUAUAUUCGGGUUUAUAGUGUGUGUCCCCCCAUCUAAACCGGCCCGCAUCUAUGGG